rnacentral:rRNA from 1 species
GACGGGGAAUGCAAGCGUUAUCCGGAAUCACUGGGCGUAAAGCGUCUUUAGGUGGUGAUGCAAGUCACUGGUGCAAAACUCUGGCUCAACCGGAGGAAAGCCAGUGAAACUGCAUGACUAGAGUGUGGGAGAGGUAGAAGGAAUUCCCUGAGUAGCGGUGAAAUGCGUAGAUACAGGGAAGAACACCGGAGGCGAAAGCGUUCUACUGGAACACAACUGACAAUGAGAGACGAAAGCUAGGGGAGCGAAUGGG